CCUACGGGUGGCAGCAGUGGGGAAUAUUGGACAUUGGGCGAAAGCCUGAUCCAGCCAUGCCGCGUGUGUGAAGAAGGCCUUCGGGUUGUAAAGCACUUUCAGUGGGGAAGAAAGCCUUGGGGCUAAUACCCUCGAGGAAGGACAUCACCCACAGAAGAAGCACCGGCUAACUCCGUGCCAGCAGCCGCGGUAAUACGGGGGGUGCGAGCGUUAAUCGGAAUUACUGGGCGUAAAGCGCGCGUAGGCGGUCUGAUAAGCCGGUUGUGAAAGCCCCGGGCUCAACCUGGGAACGGCAUCCGGAACUGUCAGGCUAGAGUGCAGGAGAGGAAGGUAGAAUUCCCGGUGUAGCGGUGAAAUGCGUAGAGAUCGGGAGGAAUACCAGUGGCGAAGGCGGCCUUCUGGACUGACACUGACGCUGAGGUGCGAAAGCGUGGGUAGCAAACAGGAUUAGAUACCCUAGUAGC
rnacentral:rRNA from 1 species